GACAACGACGGUAUUAAUGGUAAUUGCGCAGACUUGUAUGAAAGUGGCUGGUGGUACAAUUCUUGUUCUUAUUGUCCUUUAAAUGCACCAUAUGGGGGAGAUCUACAUUGUUCGGGUAAUGUUUACAUUCGCCUUAAAGAAGUUAAGAUGCUAAUUCGCCCCAAAGAAGCGAUGAAGAAGUGAUAAACUGAAAAGCUGCAAUUCCCAUAUUUGACUCAGAUAUGUAAUCAUUUAUAUUUAAUUGGUGCCUUAAGAAAAAUAUAACGAUCGACUAUUUAA